UACGAAGGGGGCUAGCGUUGCUCGGAAUCACUGGGCGUAAAGGGCGCGUAGGCGGACUCUUAAGUCAGGGGUGAAAUCCUGAGGCUCAACCUCAGAACUGCCUUUGAUACUGAGAGUCUCGAGACCGGUAGAGGUAAGUGGAACUGCGAGUGUAGAGGUGAAAUUCGUAGAUAUUCGCAAGAACACCAGUGGCGAAGGCGGCUUACUGGACCGGUUCUGACGCUGAGGCGCGAAAGCGUGGGGAGCAAACAGG
rnacentral:rRNA from 1 species